rnacentral:hammerhead_ribozyme from 1 species
AUCCAGCUGAUGAGUCCCAAAUGGGACGAAACGCCCGUCAAACAAGAU